UAGGGAAUAUUGCGCAAUGGAGGAAACUCUGACGCAGCGACGCCGCGUGGGGGAUGAAGGCUUUCGGGUCGUAAACCCCUGUCGGAAGGGAAGAAACGCAUUUUGGCUAAUAUCCAAGAUGUUUGACGGUACCUUUAAAGGAAGCACCGGCUAACUACGUGCCAGCAGCCGCGGUAAUACGUAGGGUGCUAGCGUUGUUCGGAAUCAUUGGGCGUAAAGCGCGUGUAGGUGGUUAGUUAAGUCGGGUGUGAAAUCCCUGGGCUCAACCGAGGAAGUGCAUUCGAAACUAACUAGCUGGAAGAUGGUAGAGGAAGGUGGAAUUCCUAGUGUAGAGGUGAAAUUCGUAGAUAUUAGGAGGAAUACCGGUGGCGAAGGCGGCCUUCUGGACCAUUCUUGACACUGAGACGCGAAAGCGUGGGUAGCAAACAGGAUUAGAUACCCCCGUAGUCC
rnacentral:rRNA from 1 species